rnacentral:misc_RNA from 1 species
GAUGAAGAACGCAUCGAAAUGCGAUAAGUAAUGUGAAUUGCAGAAUUCAGUGAAUCAUCGAAUCUUUGAACGCACAUUGCGCCCGCGAGUAUUCUCGCGGGCAUGCCUGUCCGAGCGUCAUUUCAACCCUCAGGGCCCGCCUGCUUCGGCAGGCGCGGCGCUGGUGUUGGGGAUCGGCCUAACCGCCGUCCCCCAAAUACAGUGGCGGUCUCGCUGCAGCCUCCCCUGCGUAGUAGCAACACUCGCAUGCGGAGCGCGGCGCGGCCACGCCGUAAAACCCCCGACUUUCUGAACGUUGACCUCGGAUCAGGUAGGAAUACCCGCUGAACUUAAGCAUAUCAAUAAGCGGAGGA